GAUUGUUCUAUGUGCCCUCGGAGUCAUGACAGGCCUGCCAGCUUUACUAACAGCUCUUUCAAGGGCAACUUGAAGUAGCAGCAUAAAAGAGGUGAAGACCCACUUUUCACUCCUCUGCUAUUUUAAGGAUUGUCAGAAGCACAGAGGAAGUGACAAAGAAAGAUCCUGAGGCACCCUGAAAAAAUGGUUUGGCCUUGGAAUGUCUGAUGCUUGCAGUUGAUCUUCCUCAUGUUUACCACAGGCAGGUUUACCAGGAGAAGGCAUUAAGUGCCUCACAACAUGGCAAGAAGUGCCACUGUUAUCAUGCUUUCUGCACAUCUGCAAGACAUCCUGCUUGCACUCUGCAAACCUCUGUGCCAAGUCUGGAAUUCAAAUGAGGAACCAGAAUCAGCUUAGAGAUCAUCUGCCUCUUUCCUGGCAUCCUGUUAGAGCCUGGAAGAAGCCUCUCAAUGCCAAUCAAGACACCAACAGAACUCCCUUCAAGUGUUUGGGUAGUGUCUGGCAACUGUAGUUAGCCCUGGGAAUCCAGAUAUAAUACUUUGUGAGUAAAUAUUCAUAAGCCUCUCUGUAAAUUAAUUCUAUUGUGUCUUCUGCCUUAGCAGAAGCAUUAAUAGAUUAUUUAAAGAUUGGUUUUAUGUUCUUGGUAUUUUAAAAUUAUUUCAGUGCUUGAAAUUUUAAAA